UUUGCAUUGCAAGUGCCUUCU
rnacentral:siRNA from 1 species